AAAAAAUGGAGAGACCAUAAGAGCACUUUGAAAAAAGAAUAUUUUAAGAAAGACAUAAGCCUCGAAGAAAAAUUGCGAAAUGUCCCGCCGAGAAUGUUGAGGUACCAAUGGGAAGAUGCAGUUAGAUUUUGGAAUUCAAAGAAAGGAGAGGACCGUGAGCGAGUUGGAACAAGUAGCAGGUAAAAACAAAAAUUCACUCACACGGCAGGGUCGAGAAGUUUUGCUUGUGCAGCUGAGGCCGAGGAAGUCUCGUCUGGUCAAAAAGUUGGACGCCUUCAGCUUUUUGACAUUACGCAUAGGAAGAAAGAUGGAUCUCCGAUGAAAUUCGAAGCUGGAGAAAUUAUGGUAUAUUUACUUAAUAAAAUUUGAUUUAUUAUAAAUAUUUAUAAUGUUUAAUUAUAAUGGUUUAAUUCGUCGUUAGUAGUUUUAAAUAAUGUUAAGUUAUUUUGCAUUCCUUUUUAUUAUAUUUUUCGUUUCUAACUCUUUAAUUGAUUUAUUAGGAGAAACUAAAAGAUAAGAAGGCGGAAUAUGAAGCGAUUGCUUCAACUGAUAGUUCUGUUAAUUUUGAGGACAUCGAUAACAAAAUUAUUAAUGAAGUUUUGGGUUCUGAAAGGUAUGGUCGGGUUCGAUUUCAAGGAUCUGGUGUUACUCCAACCCAAUAUUUUGGAUCCAGCUCGCAGCAAUACAUGCCUUCCGGGAGUCAAUCUCAAGCUGAAGUUUA